AGUAAAAGUCGUAACAAGGUUUCCGUAGGUGAACCUGCGGAAGGAUCAUUACCGAGAGGGGCUCGCGCCCCCGGGGGUUUCGCCCCGACUCUCCACCCGAUGCACACCCGACCGUUGUUGCUUUGGCGAGCCUCGGAAGGCUGCCUGCGGGCGCUCUUCGGGGAUCUACUCGCCAGAGGCCGUGGAAAAUCUUACCUGAAUGUGUGGCUGUCAGCGAUCGAUUGGAAUGAUCAAAACUUUCAACAACGGAUCUCUUGGUUCUGGCAUCGAUGAAGAACGCAGCGAAAUGCGAUAAGUAAUGUGAAUUGCAGAAUUCAGUGAAUCAUCGAAUCUUUGAACGCAUAUUGCGCCCUUCGGAAAUUCCUUAGGGCAUGCCUGUUCGAGCGUCAUUUAAUACCCUCAAGUUUGUACUUGGUGUUGGGCUCGUUGCUUCCCCGAAGCAUGCCUGAAACGUAGUGGGAAUCCGGCGCGGACUUCAAGCGUAGUGGUAGCCUAAAUCCGCUUUCGAAGGCUUCGUCCGGGCACCCAGAAGCCCCCAACGUUCUUCGCGAUUGACCUCGGAUCAGGUAGGGACACCCGCUGAACUUAAGCAUAUCAAUAAGCGGAGGAAAAGAAACCAACAGGGAUUGCCUCAGUAACGGCGAGUGAAG
rnacentral:sRNA from 1 species